CCGCCGCCGCCGGUACUAUCGCUGCCGGACGAGCUCAUCGAGGAGGUCUUCUUCCGCCUCCCGCCGGACGAGCCCGAGCACCUCGUGCGCGCCUCCCUCGCCUGCAAGCUCCUGCUGGGCCUCCUCACCGGACCUAGCUUCCGCCGUCGCUACCGCGACUUCCAUGGAGCUCCCCCCAUGUUGGGUUUCCUUUAUUCCUGGCCACAAUUCUCCCGCCAACGGUCGGAGGACCUCCUCGUCCCACAGUUCUUCCCCACCACAAAAUUCGGCGCGCGUGUUCCAGACGAUCCCUGGCCGGACUGGGGGGACUCCGAGUUGGCUGUGUUGGACUGCCACCACGGUCGCGUUCUCCUCGGGGACUAUGAUAAACCCAUGCCGCUCAUCGUUUGGGACCCCAUGACAGGCAGCCGGACCAAGCUGGAAGCGCCCAAAGGAUGCAAUAUGCCCAUGAACGCCGAGCCCGGUGGAGCCGCCGUGCUCUGUGCCGUGGCAGGAUGUGACCACCGCGGAUGCCAUCAAGGCCCCUUCCGGGUUGUCUUCUUCGGCAUGAGCACGGAUGGUGACGAUAAUUGUAUUAUACACGUGCGGGUGUCCUCGCCGGAGACUGGUGAGUGGAGCGAGCAGUGCCCUAGUUUUGAUCUUGGCAUGGAUGCAUUCAUCUGGCCAGUGCCUCCUGUCCUCAUCCAAGACGCACUUUACUUUAUACAUAUUCUUGGUGAAGAUGAACGCAAAGUAGGAAUUCUCAAAAACGACGUGGACUCUAAUUGCUUAUCGCGGAUUGAUGCGCCAGGGCCACUGCCGUGGCCUCCCAGUGACGAUUCUACUAUCCUCAUGGCUAUGGAGGAUGGCAGUUUGGGUUUUGCACAAGUGGAUAGCGUAACUUUCUAUCUGUGGUCAAGCCAGAUGGGCUCCGAGGGUGUUGCGUCAUGGACUCGGCCUAGAGUCAUCGAUCUCAACAACCUUCUCCCCAUCAAAAAUCCUGAUAAAGUUCUUAGACUGAUUGGAUCUGUGGAGGGCAGGGAUAUCGUUUUCAUCACCACAGACCUUGGCAUCUACGAGAUUAAUCUUAAGUCGCUACAGUGGAAGAAGCUAUGGAAGAGAAAAAAUUUCCUUAGAUUGAUUCCGUACAUGAGUUUC
rnacentral:rRNA from 1 species